rnacentral:rRNA from 1 species
GACGAACGCUGGCGGCGUGCUUAACACAUGCAAGUCGAACGGAAAGGCCCUGCUUUUGUGGGGUGCUCGAGUGGCGAACGGGUGAGUAACACGUGAGUAACCUGCCCUUGACUUUGGUGUAACUUCAGGAAACUGGGGCUACUACCGGAUAGGAGCUCCUGCUGCAUGGUGGGGGUUGGAAAGUUUCGGCGGUUGGGGAUGGACUCGCGGCUUAUCAGCUUGUUGGUGGGGUAGUGGCUUACCAAGGCUUUGACGGGUAGCCGGCCUGAGAGGGUGACCGGCCACAUGGGGCCUACGAGACGGCCCAGACUCCUAUGGGAGGCAGCAGUGGGGAAUAUUGCACAAUGGGCGGAAGCCGGAUGCAGCAACCCCGCGGGCGGGAUGACGGCCUUCGGGGUGUAAACCGCUUUCGCCUGUGACGAAGCGUGAGUGACGGUAAUGGGUAAAGAAGCACCGGCUAACUACGUG